GUACCGAUGAGGAGUCCCAAACUAGGACUAAACAGCUGUCCAGUAC
rnacentral:hammerhead_ribozyme from 1 species